CAACCAGACUCCUACGGGAGGCAGCAGUGGGGAAUAUUGCACAAUGGGGGAAACCCUGAUGCAGCGACGCCGCGUGAGCGAUGAAGUAUUUCGGUAUGUAAAGCUCUAUCAGCAGGGAAGAAGAUGACGGUACCUGACUAAGAAGCCCCGGCUAACUACGUGCCAGCAGCCGCGGUAAUACGUAGGGGGCAAGCGUUAUCCGGAUUUACUGGGUGUAAAGGGAGCGUAGACGGCGAUGCAAGCCAGAUGUGAAAGCCCGGGGCUCAACCCCGGGACUGCAUUUGGAACUGUGUGGCUGGAGUGUCGGAGAGGCAGGCGGAAUUCCUAGUGUAGCGGUGAAAUGCGUAGAUAUUAGGAGGAACACCAGUGGCGAAGGCGGCUUACUGGACUGUAACUGACGUUGAGGCUCGAAAGCGUGGGGAGCAAACAGGAUUAGAUACCCCCGUAC
rnacentral:rRNA from 1 species